CUGCCAGCGUUAGGUUCACUAAAGCACUUAGCGAGUACCGCGAGCGGGCGCACGGAGCAGAAUCCCAAAGCCCCGUGUUCAUACACAGGCUGCUACCAAAAAUCCCAGCAACAAUUUUCCCAAUCUGUUUACCUGGAGCAGCCAACCAGCUCAAAAAUAGAGGGAUGGCGGGGUAUAAGCCUCCAUCUGUUCCAUGUUUAACAACCCCAAGGAGAGCGCUUUGAACUCGGCUUCCUCCCGUCCCCACCCACCCACCAGACCUCCACAGCAGCACCAAGUACAAUAAUUAACAGCUGGACUUGAUGACCUGAGGGGUCUUUUCCAAGCUAAACGAUUCUAAUCAGCUUUCUGAGGGAGCAAGUGAACGUUUUCAGCAGAAACUGAGACCAUCUGUGGCACACCUUGUGGGACACCCUGUUUCAAAGCAUGAAAUGUCUGGAAUCAAGAGGAGACCCUGCUGUCCCCACUCAGUGUGGUUCUCUCCCCAGUACCUGCUCUGCCUGUGGAGGCAAAACAGCAAGCCAGCAUUUAAAACUUUUUUCUUUUUCGUCUCAGGGCAGCCCUACCAGGAGGGGACAGCAGAUGGCACUCGAACAGCAGCAGAGGAACAACCACCACUCCCCCUCCUGCAAAGGCUGAUAGGUCAGACGGGUUCAUGAAGAUCCUGGGUGACAAAGAUCAUCCUUCUUAUUUAGACAGAUCAGAGAUUCCUAUUUUACAGGUAGGAAUGUGAAAUUGCUUUAUUUUUCUCUAUAGGUCUUUUUUUUUUUCUAAAUUUGAGAAGUCUUCUAACAACCGCAAUGCUAAGAAGGUUCAGGGACCUGCAAAGAUAAGGUCACCUAAACCAGAUAAACCCAGUAUAAAUGAGCCAGAAUUUAAAGGGCUUGAUAGACCAACUCUUCACUUCCUAAAUCUGUUCACUGACAGCAAGCUCUCUGUCCUUUUUCUUAUUGCCAGUGAAUAUGGUCACACCACAGAGUGACACACUUGCAUGAUAAGAUGUGUUGUUUCCCUGAAAGCUGUCUUCUAGCUGAAGCAGAACACAAAUAAUUUGCGUUAUCUCUGCAGCAGCAGGAUGCAGACCCUGUUGUGUUAAGUCAUCCUUGAAAGCAGCAAGACAAAGGCAAUCCCAGCCCCAAACCUCAAACUACCUUUGGCCACAUAAAGGAUGUCUGAAGCAUCCUUUAUGCUAAGUCAUUUAUGUUAAGACUCCUUUCAGUGAAGCAUUUUUCUCAGGCUUCAGUGCGCUGAGGGGUUAAAGGCA